rnacentral:rRNA from 1 species
UUGGGGAAUUUUGGACAAUGGGCGCAAGCCUGAUCCGGCAAUGCCGCGUGCAGGAAGAAGGCCUUCGGGUUGUAAACUGCUUUUGUACGGAACGAAACGGUCCGGGUUAAUACCCUGGGCUAAUGACGGUACCGUAAGAAUAAGCACCGGCUAACUACGUGCCAGCAGCCGCGGUAAUACGUAGGGUGAAAGCGUUAAUCGGAAUUACUUGGCGGAAAGCGUGCGCAGGCGGUUUUGUAAGACAGGCGUGAAAUCCCCGGGCUCAACCGGGGAAUUGCGCUUGUGACUGCAAGGCUGGAGUGUGGCAGAGGGGGAUGGAAUUCCGCGUGUAGCAGUGAAAUGCGUAGAUAUGCGGAGGAACACCGAUGGCGAAGGCAAUCCCCUGGGCCUGCACUGACGCUCAUGCACGAAAGCGUGGGGAGCAAACAGGAUUAGAAACCCGAGUAGUCC